ensembl:lncRNA
AGCAUAACUGGAAUCCAGACAUCAGGAAGUGGUGACUGAUGUCACUACCACCACCACCCUGCUCUGACAGAUGAUGAUACCCCCAAAGCCAUUGUCUUGACACAAGUGUGCAGCUACUGUCUCUCAUAGCAGAAACAGCAGCAGAAAAAUAAUCUCCUCUUUCAAAGCGUAUGGGAGUGCAUCUAUCUGAUGUUUUAUUUUCUUCCAGAAUCCUUGCUGGCCUCAGGUUAGCAAAUGCAGUUUUUAGUUUUCCAGUCCUUCUGUGCAGGAAGGCACAUAGAAGGGGAUAGGAAUAAGUAUUGUGUACCAGUUGACCAUAUCCAAUGUUUCAGCUACUUAGUACAGUGUCAACAUAGAAGAUCCUAAAUGUUAAUCAUCAUUACUAAUAGAUUUACAAAUUUAAGCCAACAUUCAUAAGCUAUUACUCUUAGACAUGACUGUAGUCUGUAUCAUAUCUUCCUGCUCAGCUCUAUCAAGUAAAUCAUCAGGAAAUCUCUCUUUUCCAUCUAGGAGUGGUUGAAGCACAGAUCAGUUGAAUGCUCUGUCGAAGGUCAAAGUAGGGCCUGUUGACCUGAUCUCAGUUUAGCCAUUAUUCACCAUUUCAUAGUAGCUCCACAGGAGAAAGUAUGGCCAAAUUGUAGACUGAAAUUUCAAACUCCUUUUUAAAUGAAAAUAUUCAUGUUGAGUAAUUGCAGCAAAGGUGUCACCACACUCAAGCUUUAUCAUCGGCAUUGGCAUAGGAACCAUCUCCCCCUGCCCCAUUUGACAGUGGCAUGAAUGAAAAAGCUUUCAGGUUGGAUGAUGCUGUUUUGGAGUGUCUGGUGGGGAAUCAUCAUCAUAUCCAGGUGGCACCCAUUAUCCAAAAUGGUCAGAUUACUUUUCAACCCUGAAUAUUCACUGGAAGGACUGAUGCUGAAGCUGAAGCUCCAGUACUUUGGCCACCUGAUGUGAAGAGCCGACUCAUUGGAAAAAGACCCUGAUGCUGGGAAAGAUUGAAGGCAGGAGAAGGGGACAAC